AAUUGGGAGAGCACCAUGACCUAAUGCUACCCACUGCCACAUGGUACCUGCCAGUGACCCUCAAGCACAGUCCAAGCACACCUGGGACAGAAACACAACUCACCUGUCUGGUAUGUCCAGGUAAGCAGAGGUAAUCAAGGGACUCAGGGCAUAAAAACCAAAGUGUGUGUUCAACAGCAGGGAACAAGGGGUCAGCUGAGCUAAACAAUUUAGAUUGUUCUUCAGGAUCUGCUCUUCCCCUGGAAUCUGGGAGGAAACACAGAGUCCUCCCCACACCAGCCAUGACUGAGGCCUCCACCAGUGUAAGGCCGGGAGUGGGAAAGGGCCCUAAGCUAGGCUAAGAGAUAAUGAUUGAUCAGGUCAGCCACCCUGUUCACUAGGUGCCAGCAUAGUCCAGGGACCCCGACUUCAGGCAGAAGUUGGCAGCAGAGUUGCCACCUUCUGCAGUUUUAUCCCAGGGCUCAGAGGGUCCCCAGGGAGAUUCAGCAGAACCUGAAUUAAAAGGGUCAUGCAGAGGGAUCCUGAGUGAGAAACAAUGUGACACUGGGCAUGAGUGGGCAGUAAGAGAGAAGGGUCUGGCUCUCCCUGGGGAGGGGCAUUGGGGCACAAGCCACCUAAGCCCCCAGAUGCUCCACUCACCUGUCAGACACACAUGGCCCAAAAUCCCCCAACCAGCCCCAGAAAAAGUUCUUAAUCAAGAAAAGAGGGACCCCACUUCCACACAUGCAGGCAUUGGGAACUGUUCCUCACAUAUACGACAGAAAGGUUGUUUUUGAGACAGGGUCUCACUGUCACCCAGACUGGAGCACAUUGGCAUGAUCUGGGCUCACUGCAACCUCCACCUCCCAGAUUCAAGCCAUUCUCCUGCCUCAGCUUCCCAAGUAGUUGGUAUUACAGGCACACAAGACCACUGCCCGGCUAAUUUUUGUAUUUUUAGUAUAGAUGGGAUCUUACCAUGUGCACCACGCUGGUCCUGACCUCCUGACCUCAAGAGAUCCAACCACCUUGGCCUUCCAAAGUGCUGAGAUUACAGGUUCCCGGCUUGAUGCCCGCCAGCCCAGUACCCACCCCGGCCUUGGCUGGGAAACCCGCAGUGCAGGCUGCCACCCAACAGGGCCCUGCGGUUGCAGAAACCCGGCCCCACCCGGCCCAGGCCACAAUAGCUUCACUCUGGGACAGGACCCUUCUGGUGGGUGCUUGGGGGACCUGGGUGAGUGUAUGUGGGAACAAUUGAUCAAAAGUGGCUUUUUAUUUCCCUAAGAGUAAAGACUUCUUUGUAGUAAUACUUUUUGCUCAUUUACAUAAAGCUGGUAGAGUCUAACUAUUUAGAUGUACCCAUGAUUUUGUCAGUAAAUUUGAGUUCACUUUUAUUAGUUUUGUUCAGUUUAGUCUUGUUUGUUUCUGCUUUUAGGAAGAAUGUUAAAUUCUACCUGAAAUCAGUAAACUACCCUCAGAGAAAUUUCAAUGAGAAGGAUGAAAUCUUUUUCAUGAGAAGCUGGUAUCUAUGGCUAAAUAUGUGCUCUCCUCUUAGAGUUCAUAAGCCAGUUAUUUUAUUAAAUCUUUGAUUCAGAAAAAAAAAAGAAAGAAAAAAACUAUUAACAAUUCUCUACAGUCAGUACAAAGUUUUAAAAAAUUCUUGUUGCAGUGACAAUGUGUACCAAUUUUUACAAUUCUUCAAUAUUUAGAUGUGUCAUGUUGAGGGCAUGUAUGAAAAAUAUGUCCCGGCUAUUAUGGUAGUCUUAUAUGCUAUUCUUUACCUUGGAAAAAAGCUAGCAGCCUGCAGAGCUGGCUACAAUGCCUUUUGAAGAUUGUAUUUUAAUAAAGUAGACCAAUAAUGCA
rnacentral:lncRNA from 13 species